rnacentral:rRNA from 1 species
GUGUCAGCAGCCGCGGUAAUACGUAGGUGACGAGCGUUAUCCGGAUUUACUGGGCGUAAAGCGCUUGUAGGUGGCUCUGUAAGUUGGGCGUGAAAACACCGGGCUUAACUCGGUGACGCCGUCCAAUACUGCGGGGCUGGAGGAUGUCAGAGGAAGGUGGAAUUCCUGGUGUAGUGGUGAAAUGCGUAGAUAUCAGGAGGAACACCCGUGGCGAAGGCGGCCUUCUGGGGCAUUCCUGACACUGAGAAGCGAAAGCUAGGGGAGCAAACAGGAUUAGAAACCCCCGUAGUCC